AUGGCAUUUUAUGAUGAACCCGGACUCCCUAUGUGCCAAGGUGAUGAAAGGAUGAUAUUUCCCAGACACAGAUUUCCUACAUGCUCGGUUCCCAAGUCCUCAUCUGCUACUUGGUGGGCAAUUGUGGCGGGCCGUGAAGCACUGCAGGCCGGUCUGGUGAAGCGAGUAGGCGACGGAUCGUCCAUAUCAAUUUGGGAGGACAAAUGGAUUCCUUCCACCAUCAAGAUGUCUCCUCUGUUACGUCCAGCUAACACCAUGGUGCAAACCGUGAAUGAAUUGAUAGACCCACUGAGCUGGACAUGGCAGACGGAGCAUGUUCGGGAGAUCUUUAUCGCGCUGGAUGCCGCAGCCAUUCUGAACAUUCCAUUGCGGCAUGGUGGGGGCGAAGAGAUCUAUGCAUGGGCCUUUGAGAAGUCAGGCAUUUACUCGGUUAAAUCGGAGUAUCGUGCUCUCGUGAAUCAAAAAGAGCGACAGGCUCUAGAUGAGGGGCAGGUUACCGGCACUUCAGUGGAUCAACAACAUGUGUGUAAUGCCAUUUGGAAACUCAAAGUAGUCCCUAAAGUCAAGGUGUUUUGGUGGUGUGUGAUGAGAGGGAUCUUACCAGACGAGUGCACUCUCAAGCGUCGCCACAUGAAGCAGAUCAGCACCUGCAAGUUCUGGGAGGAAACCCGGCUGCUCUUCGACAUCAACUUGCCAAGGCUACAUCCCCGCACAUGGUCCAAGGACAUCUUAUGUGAUCAACGUUUUUCUGAGAAGGAACGAGCGAUCCUUGUCACGGUGAUGUGGGCAAUCUGGACAUCUCGAAAUCGACUAACACACGAACGGGAUGGCAUUGAUCCUGUCUUUUCAGUAAGACGGAUACGCGAGGAUCUACCUCUACUUGAGCUACCAAAGCAGCAAGUUUCUAUGCUGCCAGGCUUCGUAUGGCGGCCGCCCGAUGAUGGAUUCAUAAAAAUCAACACUGACGCUGCUACUCAUCUCGAUUAUGGCAACACAGGGGCGGGUGGCAUCGCUCGUUCGGCAUCGGGCUUCAAGGGUGCAUGGUCCAAGCCGAUCCCGGGGGUGACAGAUCCUCUCAUUGCGGAGGCUCUAGCGCUCAAGGACGGAGUAUUACUCGCAACACUACGAGGCUACACGCAUGUGAUCAUGGAGACCGACUGUCUAGAGGUAGUAAACCUCUGGAACUAUCGCUACACUGACCGUUCGGUGAUAGCACCUAUCCUAGAUGAAAUAGGAGAGCUAGCUCUUAGCUUUACUUCUUUUACUGUUCAACAUAGGAGUGGUGGUCAUCCUGGGCCUCUACAUGCUGCUAUCGGGCAAGGACAAGGGAAGUACAACGCUGCAGGAGCGGCGAGUGGCGAAGAGCAGGGCAGCUCGCCGGAUCUGGACUGCGAGAAGCAGCAGCGGCAGGAGAAGAAGAUGGCUGACGCCUCCUUGGCGCAGGAUAGCUCGGAAGAACAGACCAAGGCGAUGAGAUAA
rnacentral:rRNA from 1 species